GGAGGGGGCUAGCGUUGUUCGGAAUUACUGGGCGUAAAGCGCGCGUAGGCGGACCUGCAAGUCGGGGGUGAAAGCCCGAGGCUCAACCUCGGAACUGCCUUCGAUACUGCGGGUCUCGAGUCCGGGAGAGGUGAGUGGAAUUCCUAGUGUAGAGGUGAAAUUCGUAGAUAUUAGGAAGAACACCAGUGGCGAAGGCGGCUCACUGGCCCGGUACUGACGCUGAGGCGCGAAAGCGUGGGGAGCAAACAGGAUUAGAUACCCUGGUAGUCCACGCCGUAAACUAUGGGUGCUAGCCGUCGGUCGGCAUGCCGGUCGGUGGCGCAGCCAACGCAUUAAGCACCCCGCCUGGGGAGUACGGUCGCAAGAUUAAA
rnacentral:rRNA from 1 species